CUUUUGGAUGAGCGAUUUCAGUCUUUCUAGGAAUUCUUUGAUUGGUUUCUUCUCAUACGAAUCACAUGUAGGACAUGUCUAGAAAUCAAUGAAAGAAUAAUAUUCUUCUUUAAAACUUUUUUCCUGUUCAAUCAAAUAUUCAUUCAAAUUUUAUUUUUUCCAAUUAGAGACAUAAAUCAUGUUCACUGAAAAACUCUGAGAAGUGCAUAAAAUUGUUCAGAAAAUAAUAUUGAAAAAAAUUGCUUGUAAUCCCCUCAGAGAUAACCACUGCAAUGUUUUAAUUUAUAUCCUUUCAGCAAUGUUUUCUUUGCAUUUAUGUUAUCUAUUUUGGUUAUUAAUUUCUCUUUUUUCUUUACACUUAACAUAUCACAAGCAUUUCCCAUGUAUUCAAUAGUCUUUAAAAAUAUGACCCAUUAGGGUUGCUUUGUACUCCUACAUAGGAUUGAAGUAUUACUGUUUUUGGACACAUAGAUUGAUGCUAACUUUUCCCUAUCAUAUACAAUGUUCGAUGAACAUUUCUGAAUAAUUUUUCAUAUACAUUACAAAUUACUAAAAGUAGAGUUACUCAAAUUAAAGGGGAUAAAAAUAUUAAGGUUUUUGAUAUACAUUAAACUAUUUUUCUUCUAUUCACAGAGAACAUUCUUAGCAUUACUGGGUAUUGUUAAAAUUUUUAAUGGAAAAAAAUAGGAUUUCCUGUCUUAAUUUACAUUUAUUUGGUUAUGAGAUUAAACAAUGUUGCAUCUGUGUAUUGUCCUCUUGUAUUUCUUUUUUAAAAAAAUCCUUGGUUUAUGUUCUUUAUCCUUAUUCUUGUUGAGAGACCAAAAACCAGGCCAUUACUUGCUGUUCAGCAUCGCUAAUGCCAGUUUGAUGUUGUGGUGAGAGAUAUUUGACUGACAGUGUUCACAGGAACAUCCAACAGUGAGAAUCACGUCUUGAACAGGACUUCUUCCUGUAUAAUACCUGGCAUAAUGUCUUGUUACUAGUGAGUGCUCAACAAAUACUUGUGGAGUGGAUCAGUGACGUAAGUGAGUUAAAGCCCCUUCUUUGGGACAAGUGGGAACCUACCUCUAGUGGCACAUUCCACAUUAGGAUUCAGGACACCUGCCAUAGACUAUGCAUGACAUUUCUGACAUCCUAUUCACACUCUCAGGUCAGUUAGGGUGGGAUCUGCCUGAAUCAAGCAGUUGAGGAACAUAAUUUGAGACGUGCCCCACCCAAGGGAGGGAAGACUGUCCCUUGGAAAGUAAGAGUACUAUCUCAAAGAAUGGAGAAGCAGACAGAACAAGGAUCAAGACUCAACUCUUGCUUUACUUUACUCAAAUAACCAGUGACUAAUGAAUAAAUCUUAGAAAUUGUACUGAAAAUGAAAUGGAAUUUAUUGGAAGAACAAAACUCAUAUUGACCUGUUGAAACAUUUUAAUUCUGGUCUAAGAACUUGUAUCUGGGUUACCUUUUCCUUUUAGCAAAUGUGAGUAUACGAUGCUGCUCUUCCUCCCCUCAAAUUUGCUAUAUCUUCAUUUUGCCAAAAUGUAUAGAAGGACUCCACUGAGGACUGAUGCCUCAAUUUCUUUUGGUUCCUGCAAGGCCUAUCCCAUGAAUAACGAUAUUACCUGAGUCUUCCUGUGGACAAUCAGCUGAAAAUAGCAUUUGGCCUGCUUUGCAUUUUCCAACCUAUAUGCUUACCCCAUAUGAAUGUUGAUUAAUAACAUGCAUCUUUAAGACACAACCCUAUCAGGUUUGCUUUGCAUAUGUAGCCACAAGCCGAGAACCAGCUUAUCUGGUUUCCUUAUAUCAGAGCAGCUUGCCUCUUAUAAGGGCGAGAUAGUGUCCUUUACAUAUGUUUGCCAAAAUGCUUAUUUAAUAGAAACUAUUUAUAAAUGUUAAUUAUAGCACUUUUUUUUCCUUGAAAACCACAUGUUCAUAUUUGUUGAAGUUUUUUCUUUUCUCUUCUUUUUGACCACAACCGGCUUAACUUACUGGAAAAAAAUAAUAUUCAUAUUUAAAGAGGUAAAUUUUCCAGCUGAAACUGAAAACACUAACUGCUUCAUCCGUGAUGAUCUGAGAAACCAGCAUUUCUCACAGAGGCCCAUUUUGCUGAGUUAACAUUUACAUGUGUAUGUUGAAAGAAAAUUAGGUUCUGAAGAAGUAUAGGGGCCUGUCAAGUGAACUCCCUUAAGACAGUAUUGCCAAGAGUGGUUAAGACAGUGAGCAGAGAUUUUACACCUGGGAAAGCCUUUCUGAAAGCCUCUGAAAGACAUCUGGAUACUGAUGCCACGUUGAUGGGGCUGUGCUAUCUCUCCUGCCCUUCCUUGCUCAUCUGUGUCAAUAGACAAUAGAAAUUUGCGCUAUGCUUUCUGCAAGCAGCAGAGCUCUCUCUGGCAAUCUGUGGUCCAGGGCAAAUAACUCUUGCAUUUGGCUUCAGAUGCACAUCAAAGGCAGCCUUAAAGAAAGAAAGAAGCAGUGGAGCUCUCCUUCUAACUGCCUUAGGAUGUGUUGAGUAGGGGAGUAGAGAGAUUAACCUCAAUUCAGGUGGCUGCAGGUGCCCUGUCAGUUAGGAUGCACCCAAGUUCAUGUGCAGCACCAUCAUCUGGGAGCAUAACCAUUGCUUUCUUUUGCUAUGCCUUGCAGAUUCAGAGGGCAAGGCUUUGUUUCCUUCAUCCUUCAACACCUGGAAAUGUGAGGAGUUAAUCUGUUCUGCAUUAGUUUUGUAGAGUAAAGGGAGCUUACAAACUACUCUUCUCUUUAGCCAGAGAACAGUCAAGUGCUGCUUCUGCAGGGUGGUGCACUUGGCUUUGUUGAUUUGCAAUUGAAUAUUUGAAAAUAAUUUGCCUUCUUCAACUUAUUUUUGACCUACUUAAUUUUUUUUUCAAAGAAAACCCUAGGCAUUCACACUAAGCCUUGCUAACUAGGUAAAAUAACCUUUGUGCUACAUAUAAGGUUUAUAGUAGGGUCUCUCAAAAGUGGCACUAUUGACAUUUUGGGCUGGAUAACUCUUUGUUAUCAGGGCUGUUUAGUAGCAUCCCCAGCCUCUACCUACUAAAUGCCAAUAGAAACUACCCACCCCACACACACACACACAAUUAUGGAAACAGAAAAAUUUUCCAGACAAUGCCAAAUGUUCUCAGAGGGCAAGAUCCCCAUCCAAUGAGGACCACUGGAUACAUGAUUAGAAAGAGAAAGAAAUACACCUGGUGAGGCCAGUUAGUCUUAGAUAAUCACUGUAUAUCAGCAUUUAUAUGCAAUGCUUAAUCGAGUUCAUUUUCAUUAAACUUUUUAAUCUCUUAAAAUCUCUAAUAGACUCUGCUUCUAUGCUAGCCCUGAAGAGCUUAUUAUAAUGCUACCACGGCCUUGAACUAUUUUCUUCACUCCUGAGUUUGCCUGCCAGAAUAGCUUAAAUUUAUGCCGUAUUCACUUGUAUCAUAGCCAGCUAGCCAGUGUUGUUUGAUCAGAUACAGUGUCACCAAGACAAAAUCCUGUCAUUACAAUAUAAGAUAAAAAAUAGCUCUCUUUAACAAAGCAUUCAAAGGAAGUACCCACUAGAUCAACGCAAGUUAGAAAAUGGGCUAUCUUUUCAUAUUUUGCAAGUUAUAGACUGUAGCUAAGAAACUCCCAAAAUGACUCUAACCACAGCAAUUAGACAAAGAGCAUGAGAUACUAAAAAACAUGUGUUUUGAUAAUUAGGACAUUAAGAAAUAGUCUAACUUAUUGGAAAAGUCUUUCCAAUAAGCUGAAUGUGCUACUUUCAUUUUAGAUGCUGCUUAUUAGAAAAGGACCCAGUAAAUGAGAGUGGUUAGAUUUAGAACUAGAGAGUGAGUUUUAAAGAAAAGCAAUAGUUGUGACUCAUUCACUUUCUAAACUUUUGCACAUAGUCAUUUACGAUAAUUGUUUUCUUUGCAAUGUAUCUUCCUAAGUCUCCCCUUUUGUAGUGUCCUAAUUACUGGUAGCACUUCUAUAGUUAUUCUAAUUUAUGCACUUAAAAGUCUGUAACAGUGAAAACAUUUCCCCCAAUUGCGUUUAUAUCCUCAGGGUACCAAACCUGAAGACUAGAUCGAAGUUACCAAGGAACAGAUCAGUACACUGCACUCUUGAACUACCUGCUAGGCCUCUUCUUCCUGGGACCUAAUGGAUUUAAAUGGCUUAAGAGGACGGGAUGAGUUGUUGAAAACAGUCCUUUCAAAAGACUUCACGGAAGGCGAAAGACAAGACUCAGUGAAGCCAAGGUAUACGUGUGCAUGUGCUAAUGCGUGGGGGCAGGGAUUGAUGGAGUCAACGAAAUAUGCCCCAUCUGCAUCUUAGACAGGAAAAGAGAGAAAUGGGUGAAUUCCAAUUUUCAGCAUGAAUCAAGAAGGGUGCACAGUAAAUAGUAGGUGAGGAAACCAAGGCAGAAAAAAGCUGAGUAGCACACUGAAGGGAUUGGAGGAUAAUGACUGCAGAGCUUGACCACUUCUCUCCAUAGAAGGAAACUGCCUCUGGUGCCGGUGCCAUUGGGCUAUAACAGAAUAGCUUCUGCCAUUCUCAAGGCCCCAUAAUGGAAUUAAACCACAGUGGUGAUGCUUCUAACAUGUGGAUUUGGAGUGAGUGACAACCUGGUCCAGUGUAAGAUUCAAUAUUCUUCUGGCAUUUUACAUCCAUACAAGGAGAGAAAAUUAAAUCUAUUAACCCUUCCAAUCAUUUGGAUCAUGAAUAGCAUAGACAACAUCAAUCAGGAAAUCAGGUACCUUGACAAUUUAAUGACCUAAAAAUAUGUGAUUAACUUAUUUACAUUUAAUCAGUUAUUAUUCAUUUGCCAUGUUUUUUAAGCCUUCUCAUCCUAAAUGAGACGGCCAGAACACUUAUCUCCUGCUGCAUUUAGCUCCCAGAACUUUCAAAUAGACACUGGGGGAACUCAGUACAGAAAGACAAAAGAAAUAUGCUUAGAAAGAGAUCCAACAAAAAUGAGAUCGUCAUGACAUUAAGGGGUGGAUGGCUCAGUGUUUUGGGAUGUCCACAGUUAAGUCAUCACAUGUCACAUCAGUGUAUCUAGCAAAAGUUGUCUUGUAACUUCUGCCAUCUGAGUAUGUAUCAACUGGAAGCUUUAAUGACAUUACCAGGAUGAGGGACUCCAGCCCUUGACCUAAUUUUCACCGAGCUCUCAGAACCACUGCUCUGAUCUUUGCUAAUUUAUUCAGAGAAUAUCUCUUAAUGGAGUUAGUGAUUCCGUCAGCCUUUGGGAUGGAGACCUUAGAAAUGUAGGAUUAAGGUGCCUGGAGGAGGUCGACUGUAGUCAUGGAGAACAAGGAGCCCAGCACUAUAGUCAUGGAGAACAAGGAGCCCAGCAGCCCACAAUCCAAAUGAACCACAGAAGCUGUGAAAGCUGGGUACCCACCUCUUGCUCUUUGGUCUCCUCCUGGCUUUCUGGAUCUCCCUGUUCCCCCUUGCUCUUUUGUUGCUCAUUAACUCCAGAUUAUAUCUCCUUCUUUUCUCUCCCUAGCUUUUCUUUCUUUCACCCCAGUUUGUUUCUUGUUCAAAUCCUCACAUCAUGAAAUCAAAAUAUUUUUAAUUCUGUUUUAUUAUAAUAAGAAUUUCUAGUCUCUACUUCAAAUACCAUUGGCCCUCUGUGUCCAAGAGUUUCCAAUCCAAAGAUGAGGAAGGCUGACUUUAUUCAUUGUACUGCACCUUUUUAUAUAAAGGACUUGAGCAUCCAUGUGUUUUGCUAUACUCCAGGGCUCCUGGAACCAAGUCUCCAGUGGAUACUGAGGGGUGACUGUAUUAAUUUCAAGUAAAAGGAAUUUGAAAUCCCCUUGUGGCACAGUGGUUUAAGGAUCCAGUGUUGCCACAGCUUUGGUGCAGGCUGGAUCCUUGACGCUGGGGAAUUUCUAUAUGCCACAGAUGCAGCCAAAAAAAAAAAAACAAAAACAAAAACGUGAAAUGAAUUAAACAAUAUAUUCUCUCUAAGGAGCGCAGAGAGUCCUUUUUAAACAGUCUUUCCUAUUAGAUCUUUAGGGUUCUUUUUUCCUUCUCAUGAGCCAAUGAUCCUUUUUCAGAAAAAAAGAAAGACAAUACUUUUGCUUUUUCCUGAUUUAUGGAAAUGUAGGUCAGGGGAAAAGGUUAAAAAAGGUAAUAUCUGCUUUGUAUCUGGGAAAAAGAUAAUUUGGGAAUGUCCUGUGUUUACUUUCCAAACUUCUAUGGAGCUACAAUUGUUAUCACAUGGGUUUUCUGUGGUUGGUUGAAGCUGGGGAUGCAAAACCACAGAUAUGGAGGAAUUGAUUAUAAAUUGUAAGUGGAAUUUUGACUCUGAGGAAGGUGCUUCCCCUAACCCAUGCAUUGUUCAAGGGCCAAAUGUAUUUUACUUUAGAAAGAGCUCUCUUGCCUCUUUUUUCUUUGUUUGUUUUUUGUUUUGCUUUGUUUUUAGGGCCACACC